ACGGCCCAGACUCCUACGGGAGGCAGCAGUAGGGAAUUUUCCGCAAUGGGCGAAAGCCUGACGGAGCAACGCCGCGUGAGAGAAGACGGUUUCCGGAUUGUAAAUCUCUGUUUUUGGGGAAGAAGUAAGUGACGGUACCCAAAGAGGAAGCUCCGGCUAACUACGUGCCAAGACGUAGGGGGCAAGCGUUAUCCGGAAUUAUUGGGCGUAAAGAGCACGUAGGCGGCAGAUUAAGUUGGUUGUAAAAGGCUAACCAUUAUAAGCGACCAAAACUGGUGUACUUGAGUUCAGAAGAGGAGAGUGGAAUUCCCGGUGUAGCGGUGGAAUGCGUAGAGAUCGGGAGGAACACCAGUGGCGAAGGCGCCUCUCUGACCUGUAACUGACGCUGAGGCGCGAAAGCGUGGGGAGCGAACAGGAUUACAUACCCUGGUAGUCCACGCCGUAAACGAUGAUGGUGCAUGGUUGUCGUCAGCUCGUGUCGUGAGAUGUUGGGUUCCCGCAACGAGCGCAACCCUUAUUUUUAGUUGCCAGCACUUUGGGUGGGCACUCUAAAGAGACAGCCGGUGAAAGCCGGAGGAAGGUGGGGAUGACGUCAAAUCAUCAUGCCCCUUAUGGCCUGGGCUACACACGUGCUACAAUGGCUGCAACAAAGGGAGGCAAGCCCGCGAGGAGGAGCUAAUCCCAAAAACCAGUCACAGUUCGGAUCGCAGGCUGCAACUCGCCUACGUGAAGUCGGAAUCGCAGAUCAGCAUGCUGCGGUGAAUACGUUC
rnacentral:rRNA from 1 species